UACAGAGGGUGCGAGCGUUAAUCGGAAUUACUGGGCGUAAAGCGUGCGUAGACGGUUUGUUAAGUCUGAUGUGAAAGCCCUGGGCUCAACCCGGGAACGGCAUUGGAAACUGGCUUACUAGAGUGCGGUAGAGGGGUGUGGAAUUCCCAGUGUAGCGGUGAAAUGCGUAGAUAUUGGGAGGAACACCAGUGGCGAAGGCGGCUACCUGGACCGGUUCUGACGCUGAGGCGCGAAAGCGUGGGGAGCAAACAGG
rnacentral:rRNA from 1 species